rnacentral:lncRNA from 1 species
AGUUCAUCUAGAGUCUGACACUUUCCUUGUUUGUCUCAACCAUGCUCUGAGCACAGAGAAGGAGGAAGUGAUGGGGCUGUGGAUAGGGGAGUUGAACGAUGAUACAAGGAGUGACUCCAAAUUUGCAUAUACUGGAACUGAAAUGCGCACGGUUGCUGAAAAGGUUGAUGCCGUCAGAAUUGUUCACAUUCAUUCUGUCAUCAUCUUAACGACGUUCUGAUAAGAGGAAGGACCAAGUAGAAAUUUCACCAGGGCAGCUGUCUGCAGCUUCAACAGAGGCAGAGAGGUUGGCUGAACUGACAGGCCACCCCAUGAGAGUUGUGGGCUGGUAUCAUUCCCAUCCUCAUAUAACUGUUUGGCCUUCACAUGUUGAUGUUCGCACACAAGCCAUGUACCAGAUGAUGGAUCAAGGCUUUGUAGGACUUAUUUUUUCCUGUUUCAUAGAAGAUAAGAACGCAAGGGCUGGCCGGGUACUCUACACUUGCUUCCAAUCCAUACAGGCCCAAAAGAGUUCAGACCUUACACAUCUGGACUCAGUAACCAAGAUCCAUAAUGGCUCAGUGUUUACCAAGAAUCUGUGCAGUCAGAUGUCGGCAGUCAGCA